rnacentral:rRNA from 1 species
AACGAACGCUGGCGGCAUGCCUAACACAUGCAAGUCGAACGAGACCUUCGGGUCUAGUGGCGCACGGGUGCGUAACGCGUGGGAACCUGCCCUUAGGUUCGGAAUAACUCCCCGAAAGGGGUGCUAAUACCGGAUAAUGUCUUCUGACCAAAGAUUUAUCGCCUUUGGAUGGGCCCGCGUUGGAUUAGCUAGUUGGUAGGGUAAAAGCCUACCAAGGCGACGAUCCAUAGCUGGUCUGAGAGGAUGGUCAGCUACACUUGGUCUGAGACACGGCACAUAAUCCUACUGGAGGCAGCAGUGGGGAAUAUUGGACGAUGGGCGAAAGCCUGAUCCAGCAAUUCCGCGUGAGUGAUGAAGGCCUUAGGGUUGUAAAGCUCUUUUACCCGGGAUGAUAAUGACAGUUCCGGGUGAAUAAGCUCCGGCUAACUCCGUG